rnacentral:rRNA from 1 species
UACGUAGGGCGCAAGCGUUGUCCGGAAUUAUUGGGCGUAAAGAGCUCGUAGGUGAUUUGUUACGUCUGCUGUGAAAACCUAGGGCUUAACCCUGGGCCUGCAGUGGAUACGGGCAGACUAGAGGUAGGUAGGGGAGAAUGGAAUUCCCGGUGUAGCGGUGAAAUGCGCAGAUAUCGGGAGGAACACCGGUGGCGAAGGCGACUUCCUGGCCUGUUCUUGACGCUGAGGCGCGAAAGCUAGGGUAGCAAACGGG